UACGAAGGGGGCUAGCGUUGUUCGGAAUUACUGGGCGUAAAGCGUGCGUAGGUGGUUCGUUAAGUCUGAUGUGAAAGCCCUGGGCUCAACCUGGGAAUGGCAUUGGAAACUGGCGACCUAGAGUGCGGUAGAGGGCAGUGGAAUUCCCGGUGUAGCAGUGAAAUGCGUAGAUAUCUGGAGGAACACCGGUGGCGAAGGCGACAUCCUGGACCGGUAUUGACGCUGAGGCGCGAAAGCCAGGGGAGCAAACGGG
rnacentral:rRNA from 1 species